UUUCGCCUACGGGACGCAGCAGUGGGGAAUAUUGCACAAUGGGGGGAACCCUGGUGCAGCGACGCCGCGUGAGUGAAGAAGUAUUUCGGUAUGUAAAGCUCUAUCAGCAGGGAAGAAAAUGACGGUACCUGACUAAGAAGCCCCGGCUAACUACGUGCCAGCAGCCGCGGUAAUACGUAGGGGACAAGCGUUAUCCGGAUUUACUGGGUGUAAAGGGAGCGUAGACGGCAGAGCAAGUCUGAAGUGAAAGCCCGCGGCCCAACUGCGGGACUGCUUUGGAAACUGCCCGGCUAGAGUGCUGGAGG
rnacentral:rRNA from 1 species